rnacentral:rRNA from 1 species
GAUGAACGCUGGCGGCGUGCCUAAUACAUGCAAGUCGAGCGAACAGACGAGGAGCUUGCUCCUCUGACGUUACCGGCGGACGGGUGAGUAACACGUGGAUAACCUACCUAUAAGACUGGGAUAACUUCGGGAAACCGGAGCUAAUACCGGAUAAUAUAUUGAACGGCAUGGUUCAAUAGUGAAAGACGGUUUUGCUGUCACUUAUAGAUGGAUCCGCGCCGCAUUAGCUAGUUGGUAAGGUAACGGCUUACCAAGGCAACGAUGCGUAGCCGACCUGAGAGGGUGAUCGGCCACACUGGAACUGAGACACGGUCCAGACUCCUACGGGAGGCAGCAGUAGGGAAUCUUCCGCAAUGGGCGAAAGCCUGACGGAGCAACGCCGCGUGAGUGAUGAAGGUCUUCGGAUCGUAAAACUCUGUUAUUAGGGAAGAACAAAUGUGUAAGUAACUAUGCACGUCUUGACGGUACCUACUCAGAAAGCCACGGCUAACUACGUG